rnacentral:piRNA from 1 species
UCAGUGUGAAGAAAUUGAAGCGGUAACUA